UACAGAGGGUGCAAGCGUUAAUCGGAAUUACUGGGCGUAAAGCGCGCGUAGGUGGUUCGUUAAGUUGGAUGUGAAAUCCCCGGGCUCAACCUGGGAACUGCAUCCAAAACUGGCGAGCUAGAGUAUGGUAGAGGGUGGUGGAAUUUCCUGUGUAGCGGUGAAAUGCGUAGAUAUAGGAAGGAACACCAGUGGCGAAGGCGACCACCUGGACUGAUACUGACACUGAGGUGCGAAAGCGUGGGGAG
rnacentral:rRNA from 1 species